rnacentral:ncRNA from 2 species
UACUUUUACACCGCUUUAGGUUUUCUUAGGGUAAUACCAUAAGAAAUUAAAAGGGAAUACGGUGUAACUCCGUAACUGUCCCGCAGCUGUAAGCUCCAUAACCGUUGUUCAAUCAAUUGGUCACUGUCCAUGUAAAAUAUGGGCGGGAAGACCGGGCAACAGGGGAGUAAGUCAGAAGACCUGCCAGAGCAUAAAUAUUAUU